UGGGGAAUAUUGCACAAUGGGCGCAAGCCUGAUGCAGCCAUGCCGCGUGUAUGAAGAAGGCCUUCGGGUUGUAAAGUACUUUCAGUCGGGAGGAAGGUGGUAAGGUUAAUAACCUUGGCGAUUGACGUUACCCGCAGAAGAAGCACCGGCUAACUCCGUGCCAGCAGCCGCGGUAAUACGGAGGGUGCAAGCGUUAAUCGGAAUUACUGGGCGUAAAGCGCACGCAGGCGGUCUGUCAAGUCGGAUGUGAAAUCCCCGGGCUCAACCUGGGAACUGCAUUCGAAACUGGCAGGCUAGAGUCUUGUAGAGGGGGGUAGAAUUCCAGGUGUAGCGGUGAGAUGCGUAGAGAUCUGGAGGAAUACCGGUGGCGGAGGCGGCCCCCUGGACAAAGACUGACGCUCAGGUGCGAAAGCGUGGGGAGCAAACAGG
rnacentral:rRNA from 1 species